rnacentral:rRNA from 1 species
GAUGAACGCUAGCGGCAGGCCUAACACAUGCAAGUCGAGGGAGAAGCCCUUUCGGGGGCCGAAACCGGCGCACGGGUGCGUAACGCGUAUGCAACCUACCUUUCACAGGGGGAUAGCCCGAAGAAAUUUGGAUUAAUACCCCAUAAUAUUAUUGGAUGGCAUCAUUUGAUAAUUAAAACUGCGGUGGUGAAAGAUGGGCAUGCGUCCUAUUAGCUAGUUGGAGUGGUAACGGCACCCCAAGGCUACGAUAGGUAAGGGUCCUGAGAGGGAGAUCCCCCACACUGGUACUGAGACAGGGACCAGACUCCUACGGGAGGCAGCAGUGAGGAAUAUUGGUCAAUGGUCGGAAGACUGAACCAGCCAUGCCGCGUGCAGGAAGAAUGCCUUAUGGGUUGUAAACUGCUUUUAUAUGGGAAGAAUAAGGCGUACGUGUACGUUGAUGACGGUACCAUAUGAAUAAGCAUCGGCUAACUCCGUG